AUUGGACGCUGGCGGCAGGCCUAACACAUGCAAGUCGAGCGGAUGAAGGGAGCUUGCUCCUGGAUUCAGCGGCGGACGGGUGAGUAAUGCCUAGGAAUCUGCCUGGUAGUGGGGGAUAACGUCCGGAAACGGGCGCUAAUACCGCAUACGUCCUGAGGGAGAAAGUGGGGGAUCUUCGGACCUCACGCUAUCAGAUGAGCCUAGGUCGGAUUAGCUAGUUGGUGGGGUAAAGGCCUACCAAGGCGACGAUCCGUAACUGGUCUGAGAGGAUGAUCAGUCACACUGGAACUGAGACACGGUCCAGACUCCUACGGGAGGCAGCAGUGGGAAAUAUUGGACAAUGGGCGAAAGCCUGAUCCAGCCAUGCCGCGUGUGUGAAGAAGGUCUUCGGAUUGUAAAGCACUUUAAGUUGGGAGGAAGGGCAGUAAGUUAAUACCUUGCUGUUUUGACGUUACCAACAGAAUAAGCACCGGCUAACUUCGUG
rnacentral:rRNA from 1 species